rnacentral:lncRNA from 1 species
CCAAGCCUGACGAACAGAAAGGCAAACCAAUGAGAUUGGACGCCUCGCAGACGAAAGCCAAUAAAAAUAUCGCCCGCGAGCAAGGGAGGCGGGCCACUGGGAAGGACAGCAAAAUUAGCUAAUAAGGUGAAGCGAUUGCAGGCGCUGUGGCUUUCCCGCCCAUUCGCGGCGUUGGUUUUCCCGCUUCUGAGACUUGUUUGGGGAGAGAUGGAGUCCUGGGACUACAGGCGCGCGCCCCAAUGCCCAGCUAACUUUUGUAUUUUUAAUAGAGACGGGGUUUCUCCGUGUUGGUCAGGCUGGUCUCGAACUCCUGACCUCAGGUGAUCUGCCCCCCUUUGCCUCCCAAAGUACUGGGAUUACAGGCGUGAGCCACCGCGCCCGGCAUGUAUUACAAAUUCUAAGAACACGAAGAUAAUGGGGCCGGCUUGGUGGCGCGAACCUGUAGCCUCACCUACUGUCAAGACUGAGACAGGAGGAUCUCUUGAGCCCAGGAGGUCGAGGCUGCAGUGAGUCAUGAUCGCACCACUGCACUCCAGCUUGGGAGACAGAAUAUACCCUGUCUAAAAAAUAAUAAUAAAAAAAAAGGUUAAAAUUUGGAGGAUAACUCCCAGCUAGAAAGGAAGAAAAGCUCUAAAGUGGAAUCGCCUUCCCCCGGAAGCUGUUGUAAAAAUUAAAGGAUGUAUGUGAGUGCACAGGCUCUCCAGCGAUCGUUUUUCUUCCACAGUGUUAACACAAUUUAUUUAUUUAUUUACUUUUUGAGAUGAAGUCUCACUCUGUUGCCCAGGCUGGAUGGAGUGCAGUGGUGUGAUCUGGGCUCACUGCAACCUCCGCCUCCUGAGUUCAAGCGAUUCUCCUGCCUCAGCCUCCUGGGUAGCUGGGACUAAAGGCUCCCACCACCAUUCCCCGCUAGUUUUUGUAUUUUUAGUAGAAAUAGGGUUUCACCAUGUUGGCCAGGCUGGUCUUGAACUCCUGACCUCAAGUGAUCCUCUCGCCUCAGCCUCCUAAAGUGCUGGGAUUACAGGCGUGAGCCACCGCGCCUGGCCUGUUUCCACAAUUAAAAAAGGCCCAUCACCCUAUCAUGAUCAUCUCUAUUACAGUCUGGACAAUAUGAGCUUUCUGGGAGAGCCAGCUUCAUUUCAUAACUGAAGAAAUGGGCUUAGGUGAACUUAGUCAUUUGCCUGAGACCGCAUAGCCUGUAGAUAACCAAGAUACCAGCUCACAUUUGUUCCAACUCAUUCCAGCUUUAAAUUCUUUCAUUCUUUUCACAGUAUGAUGCAUUGACUGUGCUAGAAUGUGUUCUUGGUGUUGGUGAGUUAAUAGUGAAAAAAACAAGUUUCUGCCUUAGUGGAGAUUCUGUUGUCAUAGGAUUUUCCCAGGCUGGCACUUUAGAAAUUUAUAUCCAGGCUGAUGAUAGCUGUUCCAAAGUUUGAAUCAGGAGAAGCAACUUUGGGGAAGUGAGUCUUUAAAAAAAGGUAACUUAAAUUCAAGAAGAGGAAGAGGGUGAGCUUCUAAGUAAGAAUUUGGAAAAAUACGGAUGAAGGUACAGACAAGUGUGAGGAAG